rnacentral:ncRNA from 1 species
CCCGCUGAAUUUAAGCAUAUUAGUCAGCGGAGGAAAAGAAACUAACCAGGAUUCCCUCAGUAACGGCGAGUGAACAGGGAAGAGCCCAGCGCCGAAUCCCCGUCCCGCGGUGGGGCGCGGGAAAUGUGGCGUACAGAAGACCCACUCCCCGGUGCCGCUCUCGGGGGGCCCAAGUCCUUCUGAUCGAGGCACAGCCCGUGGACGGUGUGAGGCCGGUAGCGGCCCCCGGCGCGCCGGGACCGGGUCUUCUCUGAGUCGGGUUGCUUGGGAAUGCAGCCCAAAGCGGGUGGUAAACUCCAUCUAAGGCUAAAUACCGGCACGAGACCAAUAGUAAACAAGUACCGUAAGG